rnacentral:rRNA from 1 species
CCUACGGGGGGCAGCAGUGAGGAAUAUUGGUCAAUGGGCGCAAGCCUGAACCAGCGAAGUAGCGUGAAGGAUGACUGCCCUACGGGUUGUAAACUUCUUUUAUAAAGGAAUAAAGUGAGGCACGUGUGCCUUUUUGUAUGUACUUUAUGUUUAAGGAUCGGCUAACUCCGGGCCAGCCGCCGAGGUAAUACGGAGGAUCCGAGGGUUAUCCGGAUUUAUUGGGUUUAAAGGGAGCGUAGAUGGGUUGUUAAGUCAGUUGUGAAAGUUUGCGGCUCAACCGUAAAAUUGCAAUUGAUACUGGCAGCCUUGAGUACAGUAGAGGUAGGCGGAAUUCGUUGUGUAGCGGUGAAAUGCUUAGAUAUCACGAAGAACUCCGAUGGCGAAGGCAGCCUACUAAACUGCCACUGACAUUGAUGCUCGAAAGUGUGGGUAUCAAACAGGAUUAGAUACCCCAGUAGUC